rnacentral:tRNA from 1 species
GUUUUAAUAAUUUAAAUAAAAAUAUUGAUUUUGUAAAUCAAAAAUUAGAUGAUACUAUUAAAACU